rnacentral:rRNA from 1 species
GACGAACGCUGGCGGCGUGCUUAACACAUGCAAGUCGAACGGAAAGGCCCUGCUUUUGUGGGGUGCUCGAGUGGCGAACGGGUGAGUAACACGUGAGUAACCUGCCCUCGACUUUGGGAUAACUUCAGGAAACUGGGGCUAAUACCGGAUAGGAGCUCCUGCUGCAUGGUGGGGGUUGGAAAGUUUCGGCGGUUGGGGAUGGACUCGCGGCUUAUCAGCUUGUUGGUGGGGUAGUGGCUUACCAAGGCUUUGACGGGUAGCCGGCCUGAGAGGGUGACCGGCCACAUUGGGACUGAGAUACGGCCCAGACUCCUACGGGAGGCAGCAGUGGGGACUAUUGCACAAUGGGCGGAAGCCUGAUGCAGCAACGCCGCGUGCGGGAUGACGGCCUUCGGGUUGUAAACCGCUUUCGCCUGUGACGAAGCGUGGGUGACGGUAAUGGGGAAAGAAGCACCGGCUAACUACGU